AUGUAUAUACCUAUUGCAUAGAAUUAAUGCAAUAAAUCCCAUUAGAACUCCGCAGUUAAGCGUGCUCAGGCUAGAGUAGUACUGGGGUGGGUGAUCACCUCAGAAGUCCUAGUGUUUUACAUG
rfam:Picea glauca, whole genome shotgun sequence.